GAAACCCGUAGAGUAGAWUGCCCUGCGAAAAAGUUCAAACCCUGGGGAAGCCCUGUGGUGGGGGUGCUCUUGUGCUGUCCAUCGCUAUCCCCCUCGCCCCCGACGGGGGCUCGGCGCCUAUUUUCAGGGGUAAAAAGAACCUUGGUGCGGAAAGGGCCAAGGAAUACUCAACUGAGAGCCCUCUCCCCGCACCCCAUCCAUGGAGCACAUGGGUGGAUGCUUGCUUCCUUUGAAACCAAAACGACUCUUGGYAACGGAUAUCUCAGCUCUUGCAUCGAUGAAGAAUGUAACAAAAUGCGAUACUUGGUGUGAAUUGCAGAAUCCUAUGAACCAUUAAGUUUUUGAACACAGGUUACGCCCAAAGCUGUCAGGCCGGGGGCACGUCUGCCUGGGGGGUGGAUACUGGCCCCCCAUGCACCCCGAGCAUGCGGCCGGCCCAAAUGCGAGUCUAUGUUGUCGGACGUCGUGACAAGUGGUGGUUGGAACUCAACUCUCUUGGGGGUCGCAGCCACACUUUUUGGRGUGCGGACUCCUCGACCCUCCCAGCGGCUCAUGGGGCUCCGA
rnacentral:misc_RNA from 1 species